AUUCAGCUGACAAGUCUCAAAUAGGACGAAACGCGUGUCCUGCAU
rnacentral:hammerhead_ribozyme from 1 species